rnacentral:rRNA from 1 species
UACGUAGGGGGCAAGCGUUGUCCGGAAUCAUUGGGCGUAAAGAGCGUGUAGGCGGCCCGAUUAGUCCGCUGUGAAAGUCGAGGGCUCAACCCUCGAAUGCCGGCGGAUACUGUCGGGCUAGAGUCCGGAAGAGGCGAGUGGAAUUCCUGGUGUAGCGGUGAAAUGCGCAGAUAUCAGGAGGAACACCGAUGGCGAAGGCAGCUCGCUGGGACGGUACUGGCGCUGAGACGCGAAAGCGUGGGGAGCAAACAGG